AAGGCGGAAACCGAAAAGCCUUUAAUUAGAGUAGGAU
rnacentral:ncRNA from 1 species